rnacentral:rRNA from 1 species
GGAGAACAUUAUCUUCGGAUAAUAAGUAAACUGGCGAACGGGUGAGUAACGCGUAAACAACUUGCCUCAGAGAUUGGGACAACAUUGGGAAACCAGUGCUAAUACCAAAUAAUGCAGCGGGCUCUUCGGAGCACAGUUGUUAAAGUAGGCUUUGGCUUACACUUUGAGAUAGGUUUGCGUCCGAUUAGUUAGUUGGUAGGGUAAAAGCCUACCAAGACCAAGAUCGGUAGCUGGUCUGAGAGGAUGAUCAGCCACACUGGAAUUGAGAUACGGUCCAGACUCCUACGGGAGGCAGCAGUAAGGAAUUUUGCACAAUGGGCGAAAGCCUGAUGCAGCAACGCCGCGUGAACGAUGAAGUUUUUAGGAAUGUAAAGUUCUGUCGUAUGGGAAGAGAUCUUUCGAAUGUUAAUACCAUUCGUUAAUGACGGUACCA